AGCAGCCGCGGUAAUUCCAGCUCCAAUAGCGUAUAUUAAAGUUGUUGCAGUUAAAAAGCUCGUAGUUGAAUUUCGGGGUCAGUAGGUUGGUCAUGCCACUGGUAUGUACUGGCCUCACUGAUUCCUCCUUCCUGAUGAGCCGUAAUGCCAUUAAUUUGGUGUUGCGAGGAAUCUGGACUGUUACUUUGAAAAAAUUAGAGUGUUUAAAGCAGGCUAACGCUUGAAUACAUUAGCAUGGAAUAAUGAAAUAGGACGUUCGAUCUUAUUUUGUUGGUUUCUAAGAUUGACGUAAUGAUUAAUAGGGAUAGUUGGGGGCAUUAGUAUUCAAUUGUCAGAGGUGAAAUUCUUGGAUUUAUUGAAGACUAACUACUGCGAAAGCAUUUGCCAAGGAUGUUUUCAUUAAUCAAGAACGGAAGUUAGGGGAUCGAAGACGAUCAGAUACCGUCGUAGUCUUAACCAUAAACUAUGCCGACUAGGGAUCGGAUGAUGUUAAUUUUUAAUGACUCAUUC
rnacentral:rRNA from 1 species